AUGGCGGAGGCUUCGGCGGCCCGGGCGACGCGGGCGCAGCUGUAGCCGCACACCGGUUUUUCUGCCACUUUUGCAAGAGCGAGGUCAGCCCCAAACUACCGGAAUAUAUCUGUCCCAGAUGUGAGUCAGGCUUUAUUGAAGAAGUGACAGAUGAUUCCAGUGUUUUAGGUGAUGGCAGCAGCCGGGUAGGCAAUAGCACGCCAACACAUUUUGCAGAGCUCUGGGACCAUUUUGGAUCACACGUUUUUUCAAGAUUUUAGGCCAUUUUUAAGUAGUAGUCCACUGGACCAAGAUAACAGAGCCAAUGAGAGGAGUCACCAAACUCACACUGACUUCUGGGGACCAAGUCGGCCUCCACGGCUGCCAAUGACUCGGAGAUACAGAUCUCAAGGAAGUUCUCGACCUGACAGGUCUCCAGCUAUUGAAGGAAUAAUACAACAGAUCUUUGCAGGAUUCUCUGCAAAUUCUGCAAUUCCUGGAUCCCCACACCCCUUUUCGUGGAGCGGGUUGCUGCACUCUAACCCUGGGGACUAUGCCUGGGGUCAGACAGGACUUGAUGCCAUUGUAACCCAGCCUUUAGGACAACUGGAAAACACAGGGCCUCCCCCAGCUGACAAAGAAAAGAUCAUAUCUCUUCCAGCAGUGACAGUAACUUAGGAACAAGUUGAUAUGGGUUUAGAGUGUCCAGUAUGCAAAGAAGAUUACACAGUUAAAGAGGAAGUCUUGCAGUUACCUUGCAAUCACUUCUUUCACAGCAGUUGUAUUGUGCCAUGGUUAGAGCUGCAUGACAUAUGUCCUGUAUGUAGGAAGAGUUUUUUUAGUUUAAAUGGUGAGGACUUUACUCGGCAAACCCAGAGCUCUGAGGCCUCUGCAAGCAACAGAUUUAGCAAUGACAGCCAACUACAUGACCGAUGGACUUUCUGAAGCUAAAGACCACAACUGAACCAGGGUUGUGGUAGUCUUCUUACCAUAACUGUAAAUUAUAUCAAAACAAAAUAAUAGUAGAUGGAUUUAGGAAUCACAUAAGAAACCCAACCCGUAAUAUUAAUGCAAUGAGUGUUUUUCUUCUCUAAAUUUAAGGUUAGUAUAUACAGAUAGAGUUGUAUCUGCAACCAAAUGCCUCUUAUUCCUGAAUUCAGAGUGUUACUUUUAUAAGUGUGAAACUUAAUUAUGUGGGUUUCCCCCUGCCUGAAUAGAAUCAAUUCCUUAAAGUCUAGCUAGGUUCCUGCUAUCUAUCAUGUUGCCUUGUAAAGAAUGUUUCCACCUCCUUCUCCAACCUCUACCCUACCAUUAGUGUAUUUUAUAGUAAAUAUAGUAGAACCAGAGCCCUGAAAUCCUGCUGAUAUAAAGUCCUUUGUCUUAAUUGUAU